UGGGGAAUAUUGGACAAUGGGGGAAACCCUGAUCCAGCCAUGCCGCGUGUGUGAAGAAGGCCUUAGGGUUGUAAAGCACUUUCAAUUGGGAGGAAAAGCUGAAGGCUAAUAACCUUCAGCCUUGACGUUACCUUUACAAGAAGCACCGGCAAACUCCGUGCCAGCAGCCGCGGUAAUACGGAGGGUGCGAGCGUUAAUCGGAAUAACUGGGCGUAAAGCGCGCGUAGGUGGUCAAGUAAGCAGGAUGUGAAAUCCCCGGGCUCAACCUGGGAACUGCAUCCUGAACUGCUUGGCUAGAGUAUGAUAGAGGGUAGUGGAAUUCCAGGUGUAGCGGUGAAAUGCGUAGAUAUCUGGAGGAACAUCAGUGGCGAAGGCGACUACCUGGAUCAAUACUGACACU
rnacentral:rRNA from 1 species